AUUGAACGCUGGCGGCAUGCCUCACACAUGCAAGUCGAACGGUAACAGGUCUUCGGAUGCUGACGAGUGGCGAACGGGUGAGUAAUACAUCGGAACGUGCCCGAGAGUGGGGGAUAACGAGGCGAAAGCUUUGCUAAUACCGCAUACGAUCUCAGGAUGAAAGCAGGGGACCGCAAGGCCUUGCGCUCACGGAGCGGCCGAUGGCAGAUUAGGUAGUUGGUGGGAUAAAAGCUUACCAAGCCGACGAUCUGUAGCUGGUCUGAGAGGACGACCAGGCACACUGGGACUGAGACACGGCCCAGACUCCUACGGGAGGCAGCAGUGGGGAAUUUUGGACAAUGGGCGCAAGCCUGAUCCAGCCAUGCCGCGUGCAGGAUGAAGGCCUUCGGGUUGUAAACUGCUUUUGUACGGAACGAAAAGACUCUGGUUAAUACCUGGGGUCCAUGACGGUACCGUAAGAAUAAGCACCGGCUAACUACGUGCCAGACGCCGCAGUAAAAC
rnacentral:rRNA from 1 species